UGCCAGCAGCCGCGGUAAUACGAAGGGUGCUAGCGUUGUUCGGAAUUACUGGGCGUAAAGCGCACGUAGGCGGACUGGAAAGUUGGGGGUGAAAUCCCAGGGCUCAACCCUGGAACUGCCUUUAAAACUCCCAGUCUUGAGUUCGAGAGAGGUGAGUGGAAUUCCGAGUGUAGAGGUGAAAUUCGUAGAUAUUCGGAGGAACACCAGUGGCGAAGGCGGCUUUCUGGACCGAUACUGACGCUGAGACGCGAAAGCGUGGGGAGCGAACAGGAUUAGAUA
rnacentral:rRNA from 1 species